rnacentral:rRNA from 1 species
GAUGAACGCUGGCGGCGUGCUUAACACAUGCAAGUCGAACGGAAAGGCCUCAGCUUGCUGGGGUGCUCGAGUGGCGAACGGGUGAGUAACACGUGGGUGAUCUGCCCUGCACUUUGGGAUAAGCUUGGGAAACUGGGUCUAAUACCGAAUAUGACCACUUCUUGGAUGUUGUGGUGGAAAGCUUUUGCGGUGUGGGAUGAGCCUGCGGCCUAUCAGCUUGUUGGUGGGGUAAUGGCCUACCAAGGCGGCGACGGGUAUCCGGCCUGAGAGGGGGUACGGACACAUUGGGACUGAGAUACGGCCCAGACUCCUACGGGAGGCAGCAGUGGGGAAUAUUGCACAAUGGGCGCAAGCCUGAUGCAGCGACGCCGCGUGGGGGAUGAAGGCCUUCGGGUUGUAAACUCCUUUCGCUAUCGACGAAGCCACUUGUGGUGACGGUAGGUAGAUAAGAAGCACCGGCUAACUACGUGCCAGCAGCCGCAGUAA